GUAAGAGUUGCUUUGCCAAUUCUGCCCCCAGUUUCUAGACAUGGUUUGCCAAUUAGUCCUAGACCCCUUGAUGGACACAGAGUGAACAUCACCAGCUCCACCAACAUUUGUGACCAGAACCAAGUUGAAGUAUGAGUGACCAUUGAUGGUGAACCUGAUCCCUCCUUUCUUCACACACGAGACUCUGUUUUAAGCCAAAAACAAAAACAUGUUAAUGUAUGCUCCAAGUUGGAUCCAACUCUUCCAAACUCAGCAAUUUUUACUUUGAAGAGCAAGUGUGCAAUACCAGUCGUUGAUCACGAAAGAUCAACUGCUGAUGUUACAUGUGCAUAUAUUUGCUAUGUGUUUAUAUAAAUGGUUGAUUGUUUUGGAUAAAGACUGGAAUGACUUAUUUCACCUUUGUUAUUCAGAGGAGCUAACUCCCUCUGAGUCAAAGUUUAAAGCUAAAAGGGGAGAAAAAAAAUAAAAAUACUUAAAGGGGUUUCUUAUUUUUUAUUUACCUUCUGAAGGAAACAGGAACAAUUCCAGCUUUGUAUUGAGCAAUUUGUAAGAAAGCAGGCUCAGCAAGAUCAAAGUGUUGCAAAGGAGGGUUGCACCAGCCACCAUUGUCAUUAGACAAGGCAAAGUUAGGGGGGCAGAAGUUUGUGGCAGUGACGAUUAUGCUACCGGGGAGGCACCAUCUGGGGUCACUGUCACAUCUCAUCUCAUAGCAAGACCCGCAACUCAAGCCAUUGUUGAAUAGAGCAGUGCUGAGUGCUGCAGUGUUAGUACCAUACCCUUGGCUGUACAAAUUGCCAUAGCCACAAGCCCCUCCU
rnacentral:lncRNA from 1 species